rnacentral:rRNA from 1 species
UACGUAGGGAGCAAGCGUUGUCCGGAAUCAUUGGGCGUAAAGAGCUCGUAGGCGGCUUGUCACGUCGGGUGUGAAAGCCCGGGGCUUAACCCCGGGUCUGCAUUCGAUACGGGCUAGCUAGAGUGUGGUAGGGGAGAUCGGAAUUCCUGGUGUAGCGGUGAAAUGCGCAGAUAUCAGGAGGAACACCGGUGGCGAAGGCGGAUCUCUGGGACGGUACUGACGCUGAGACGCGAAAGCGUGGGGAGCGAACAGG